rnacentral:rRNA from 1 species
UACGGAGGGUGCGAGCGUUAUCCGGAAUCACUGGGCGUAAAGGGCGCGUAGGCGGUUUGUUAAGUCCGAUGUUAAAGACCGAGGCUCAACCUCGAUACGGCGUUGGAUACUGACAAGCUGGACGGUUGGAGAGGAAGGUAGAAUUACCAGUGUAGCGGUGGAAUGCGUAGAUACUGGUAGGAAUACCCAUUGCGAAGGCAGCCUUCUGGACAACACGUGACGCUGAGGCGCGAAAGUGUGGGGAGCAAAC